UCACAGAAUUUGGAAGAUCACGAUAAGUAAGGCGACCCAGCUCUAACAAGAAUAUACUUGAAGCCCUCAAAAUGGAGGAGGCGGUAAUUAGGACUGGUGGUUUCCUAGAUGCAUUGAGAACCGCCACGACCGAGAGGAUUAGAACAAUUCGUGUGUGGUUCAGGAUUCUGACCAAAUCACGCCAUGCCGCACUCGUUCCACUCCUGUGUGUCGUCUUUAUUACCUUGUUCGACAUUCGGCGUACUCUUAACGACGACAACAGCAUCAUAUGGUGGUCUAUGCAUGCCUGUUUGUUGGGAUUCUUCUAUGUCUUUUUACAGCCUUGGGUCCGAUUCUUUUCCCAGCCAUUGAUAGGGAAGACCAGCUAUAUACACUUCAAUGAGUGGUAUGCAUCGUGGCUUUCAGCAGCAACUGCAUAUCAUCUUCCUAGUUCUCGGUCAGUGGGAGUUUCGAUGAGAAUGAAUCCGUCUUUUUUGUUGACAACCUUUGCCGCUUCUGUUCUGUUUCUUCUUGUCUUCCACUCAAUUUUUGAAGGCCUUCGCUACAUUUUUUCAAGUGAGAUUCAAAAGUGGCCAGACAAAUGGACCAUUCUCAAGCGUAUAUGGAUCAUUCUUAAACUUUCUGCCGCAAGUCCUGGAGAGGCAAUUGGUUGUAAGUGUAGCCAGCUGCGUUUUUCUGCGUCAUUGUAGAGAGAGGCCACUUGCAAAAAGAAGCUUUAAGCAGUUAACAAUCAGUUGGCUUCCUGCGGGUUCACCGGAUGAAAUCUUUCAUGCCUUCUUGUUAUGGUCUGUUGUUAUAGGCAUUUACAUGGUCAAUUAUGUAGCGAAGAUCGAGGUUAUCAACGUCAGGGGAAGAAUCUACGAAGAAUAAGCAAAUGAAGCCUGACUUUUUAGAUAUGGUUCCCUGGUAAUCAGGAACAUCAGCUGACCUAUACAAGACUGUUUUUGACCUCCUGGUAUCAGUAAAUGUCUUCCUAGGUCGCUUUGACAUGCGUAUAUUGCAGGCAGCAAUGAAUCAGGUUCAAGGUGUGCCAACAGAUAAAAAGAAGGCUCAAGAUGGAGUUCAACAAGGAGAUUCUGUAUAUGAUGCUUUUAGUAAAGAGGAAGAACUAUGGUUUGAUUUCAUGGCUGAUACUGGUGAUGGUGGGAACUCAACCUAUACUGUCGCACGCCUACUUGCUCAGCCUUCCAUUCGUUGCACUAGUACUAGUAAUUCAGAGCUUGACUUACCGCGUGGAAACUUACUACUCAUUGGAGGCGAUAUUGCAUUAUCCUAUUUGCUGCUACUAAAUGAAGAUGAGUGAUCCAUCCUACAACACGUACUUAGGAGAAAGUAUUGCCAAUGACGAAACUUCAUUGUGCUUUUACGAAAUUUCAUCCAGACUUUUUUGUUAAGCUUUUUUGUAC